GAUGAACGCUGGCGGCGUGCCUAAUACAUGCAAGUCGAGCGGUAAGGCUCUCACAGUUUGCUUCUUGCGCUGUUUCGAGACAGGUCGCGGAAAUUUCUUCGAAAUUUUCGCAUCAAAAACGAAGGAGUGAAUGCGGAAUUAACUUCCUCAUAAAGAAAGAAGGAGCAAAGUGUGAGAGUACACGAGCGGCGGACGGCUGAGUAACGCGUAGGAACGUACCCCAAAGUGAGGGAUAAGCACCAGAAAUGGUGUCUAAUACCGCAUGUGGUCUUCGGAUUAAAGCUUCGGCGCUUUGGGAGCGGCCUGCGUAUGAUUAGUUUGUUGGUGAGGUAAUGGCUCACCAAGGCUUCGAUCAUUAGCUGGUCUGAGAGGAUGAUCAGCCAGACUGGGACUGAGAACGGCCCAGACUCCUACGGGAGGCAGCAGUAGGGAAUUUUCCACAAUGGGCGAAAGCCUGAUGGAGCAACGCCGCGUGCAGGAUGAAGGCCUUCGGGUU
rnacentral:rRNA from 1 species